GACGAACGCUGGCGGCGUGCUUAACACAUGCAAGUCGAACGGAAAGGCCCUGCUUUUGUGGGGUGCUCGAGUGGCGAACGGGUGAGUAACACGUGAGUAACCUGCCCUUGACUUUGGGAUAACUUCAGGAAACUGGGGCUAAUACCGGAUAGGAGCUCCUGCUGCAUGGUGGGGGUUGGAAAGUUUCGGCGGUUGGGGAUGGACUCGAGGCUGAUCAGCUUGUUGGUGGGGUAGUGGCUUACCAAGGCUUUGACGGGUAGCCGGCCUGAGCGGGUGACCGGCCACAUUGGGACUGGGAUACGGCACAGACUCCGACGGGAGACAGCAGUGGGGAAUAUUGCACAAUGGGAGGAAGCCUGAUGCAGCAACGCCGCGUGCGGGAUGACGGCCUUCGGGUUGUAACCCGCUUUCGCCUGUGACGAAGCGAGAGUGACGGUAAUGGGUAGAGAAGCACCGGCUAACUACGUG
rnacentral:rRNA from 1 species